GACGAACGCUGGCGGCGUGCUUAACACAUGCAAGUCGAACGACGUGGCGAACGGGUGAGUAAUACGUGGGUAACCUGCCCUCCUUUUUGGGAUAAGCCUCUGAAACGGGGUCUAAUACCGACUUAAGGGGGAUGGGCUCGCGGCCUAUCAGCUUGUUGGUGGGGUGAUGGGCUACCAAGGCGGUGACGGGUGGCCGGCCUGAGAGGGUGAACGGGCACGGUUGGACGGAGAUACGGCCCAGGGUUCGAAGGGUGGGGGCAGGGGGGGAUAUUGGACAAUGGGGGAAAGCCUGAUGCAGGGGCGGCGGGUGGGGGAUGAAGGCGUUCGGGUUGUAAACGUCUUUCGCUAGCGAACGGGUAGGUGGAGAAGAAGCGCCGGCUAACUACGUGCCAGCAGCCGCGGUAAUUC
rnacentral:rRNA from 1 species